rnacentral:rRNA from 1 species
AAUAGAUACCCGGGUAGUCCACGCCGUAAACGAUGAGUGCUAAGUGUUAGGGGGUUUCCGCCCCUUAGUGCUGCAGCUAACGCAUUAAGCACUCCGCCUGGGGAGUACGGUCGCAAGACUGAAACUCAAAGGAAUUGACGGGGGCCCGCACAAGCGGUGGAGCAUGUGGUUUAAUUCGAAGCAACGCGAAGAACCUUACCAGGUCUUGACAUCCCAUUGACCACUAUGGAGACAUAGUUUUCCCUUCGGGGACAACGGUGACAGGUGGUGCAUGGUUGUCGUCAGCUCGUGUCGUGAGAUGUUGGGUUAAGUCCCGCAACGAGCGCAACCCUUGUUCUUAGUUGCCAUCAUUUAGUUGGGCACUCUAAGGAGACUGCCGGUGACAAACCGGAGGAAGUGGGGAUGACGUCAAAUCAUCAUGCCCCUUAUGACCUGGGCUACACACGUGCUACAAUGGACGGUACAAACGGUUGCCAACCCGGCGAGGGGGAGCCUAAUCCGGAUAAAACCGGUUCUCAGUUCGGAUUGUAGGCUGCAACUCGCCUACAUGAAGCCG